AGGGGGUUCGUAGUUGACUAUAUUUGCAGUUAUGAGCUCGAUGAUUAUAAGUCAAUUCUCAUUUGAAUUUGUUCACAUUAUAUAUGUAGUUACGUAGUUAUUGAUUUUCAAGUUCCCGGAAAAGAGAGUUCAUACGUACAUACUAUAUUGCGUUGUGUAAAAUACUCGUAGGGGUUUACUUUAAAAUAAGUUGACGUACAUAGAGUAGUAACCUAUGGUUUUAUAGCGAAUAUGUUUCGAUGGUAGAAUUGGUUAUAAACCCUUUUCAUAUUGGUUUUAACAAUUGGUUUAAUUUGCGUCCAACCUUUUUUGGUUGA
rnacentral:lncRNA from 1 species